UGUGUGGUAUAUGAAUUAAAUAUUACGAAUUAUAAAUAAAUUAACACAAUUAUUAAGUUAAACAAAAUGUUAAAUGAUUACAUUUCUCAAGAUUACAAUUCUUUACAAUGUGUUGAGUAUUUGAAUAAAAGAAAGAAUUUUUCUCGACAAGUGUCCUUAAUUUGGCUAUGUUUUGCAGAUAUGCACUUCUUCGAAUUCUUCCUCAGGACAUGUGUAGUAGGCCUAGUCAAACUCAAUUUAUUGUAACUUGAUAGGACUAUCAACCCAUGCAAACUUCAAAAUAAUAACAUUGUACUGUGACAUCAAGAGCAAUGCUCACAAACAAAGAAAGCGUCAUCUUUCUCUGGAACCCCAGGGCAAUAGAACUCAACUGAAAUACAACAGAAAAAAAGUGAAAGUGCAACUGAUUCACAACUCAAUUUAAGAAUAAAUAAAACAUAAACAAUUGAAAACAAACAGUUAAGAACUAGCAAUAUCAUUGUUUGUUUGUCCCUUUUUGCUUCAGGUAAUAGUGAUGAACUGAAAAUCCAAAUUAUUGACAGUUUGCAAAAUGAUUGACAGGUUGAAAAUACAUGCUGGCCCUAAAGAACCGGCAGUGAUAUUUACGCCACCAAGUGCCUUUUGGGGGAUAUUUUGAAAUUGGUGUGACUACUGAAACCGAAAUGCCACCGACCAUCAUUAAGUAAUAAUGAGCAUACAUUUUAAAAGGUGUCAUAAUAGUUGAACUCAGAGUAAAUGUUUGUAUGGUGGUGGUUCAUUUCUUCUAACACCUUCCUCGCCAUUUUUUUUUCCAUGCUGAAAAUAAGUAAAAAGUUAAAAAAAAAGCACUAACACUUCUUAACCUGUGAUACUUCAAGACCUGACUUUGAGAUUACAGCUACUGAGACGAUGCUUAAAUAUUUGAAAUGGCAUAUAAACAGUCAUUAAGAACAUUUUCUCCUUUGAAAAUAAGUGUACUGUAUAAUAAAUUACACACCAUCCACAUAAUACUGUCCUACCACAAAACAGAGAACUGUAUAUUUUAUGUAUUCA
rnacentral:lncRNA from 1 species